rnacentral:rRNA from 1 species
ACGCACGCUGGCGGCGUGCUUAACACAUGCAAGUCGAACGGAAAGGCCCUGCUUUUGUGGGGUGCUCGAGUGGCGAACGGGUGAGUAACACGUGAGUAACCUGCCCUUGACUUUGGGAUAACUUCAGGAAACUGGGGCUAAUACCGGAUAGGAGCUCCUGCUGCAUGGUGGGGGUUGGAAAGUUUCGGCGGUUGGGGAUGGACUCGCGGCUUAUCAGCUUGUUGGUGGGGUAGUGGCUUACCAAGGCUUUGACGGGUAGCCGGCCUGAGAGGGUGACCGGGCACAUUGGGACUGAGAUACGGCCCAGACUCCUACGGGAGGCAGCAGUGGGGAAUAUUGCACAAUGGGCGGAAGCCUGAUGCAGCAACGCCGCGUGCGGGAUGACGGCCUUCGGGUUGUAAACCGCUUUCGCCUGUGACGAAGCGUGAGUGACGGUAAUGGGUAAAGAAGCACCGGCUAACUACGUG